AUUGAUGCUGUGAUUAUAAACAAUCAAAUACAUAUGUUUCUGAAUGUUUUAUUGCAUGAUAGACUCUUUUUACACCCAUAGAAUAUGAGCAUCU